rnacentral:rRNA from 1 species
AAUGCCGGAUGCUCCAGCACACCGCAUGGUGUGUUGGGAAAGCCUUUGCGGCAUGGGAUGGGGUCGCGUCCUAUCAGCUUGAUGGCGGGGUAACGGCCCACCAUGGCUUCGACGGGUAGCCGGCCUGAGAGGGCGACCGGCCACAUUGGGACUGAGAUACGGCCCAGACUCCUACGGGAGGCAGCAGUGGGGAAUAUUGCACAAUGGGCGCAAGCCUGAUGCAGCGACGCCGCGUGAGGGAUGGAGGCCUUCGGGUUGUAAACCUCUUUUGUUAGGGAGCAAGGCAUUUUGUGUUGAGUGUACCUUUCGAAUAAGCACCGGCUAACUACGUGCCAGCAGCCGCGGUAAUACGUAGGGUGCAAGCGUUAUCCGGAAUUAUUGGGCGUAAAGGGCUCGUAGGCGGUUCGUCGCGUCCGGUGUGAAAGUCCAUCGCUUAACGGUGGAUCCGCGCCGGGUACGGGCGGGCUUGAGUGCGGUAGGGGAGACUGGAAUUCCCGGUGUAACGGUGGAAUGU